rnacentral:rRNA from 1 species
AGAGUUCGAUCCUUGCUUAGGAUGAACGCUGGCGGCAUGCAAGUCGAACGGAAAGUGGUGUUUCCAGUGGCGAACGGGUGAGUAACGCGUAAGAACCUGCCCUUGGGAGGGGAACAACAGCUGGAAACGGUUGCUAAUACCCCGUAGGCUGAGGAGCAAAAGGAGAAAUACACCCAAGGAGGGGGUCGCGUCUGAUUAGCUAGUUGGUGAGGCAAUAACUUACCAAGGCGAUGAUCAGUAACUGGUUUGAGAGGAUGAUCAGACACACUGGGACUGAGACAUGGCCCAGACUCCUACGGGAGGCAGUAGUGGGGAAUUUUCCGCAAUGGGCGAAAGCCUGACGAAGCAAUGACGCGUGGAGGUGGAAGGCCUACGGGUCAUCAACUUCUUUUCUCGGAGAAGAAACAAUGACGGUAUCUGAGAAAUAAGCAUCGGCUAACUCUGUGCCAGCAGCCGCUGUAAGACAGAGGAUGCAAGCGUUAUCCGGAAUGAUUGGGUGUAAAGCGUCUGUAGGUGGCUUUUCAAAUCCACCGUCAAAUCCCAGGACUCAACCCUAGACAGGCGAUGGAAAUUACCAAGCUAGAGUACGGUAGGGGCAGAGGGAAUUUCCGGUGGAGCAAUGAAAUGCAUUGAGAUCGGAAAGAACGCCAACGGCGAAAGCACUCUGCUGGGCCGACACUGACACUGAAAGAUGAAAGCUAGGGGAGCAAAUGGGAUUAGAGACCCAGUAGUCCUAGCCGUAAACGAUGGAUACUAGGUGUUGUGUGACUCGACCCGUGCAAUGUUGUAGCUAACGCGUUAAGUAUCCCGCCUGGGGAGUACGUUCGCAAGAACGAAACUCAAAGGAAUUGACGGGGGCCCGCACAAGCGGUGGAGCAUGUGGUUUAAUUUGAUGCAAAGCGAAGAACCUUAUCAGGGCUUGACAUGCCGCGAAUCCUCUUGAAAGAGAGGGGUGCCCUUGGGAACGUGGACACAGGUGGUGCGUGAUUGUCGUCAGCUCGUGCCGUAAGGUGUUGAGUUAAGUCUCGCAAUGAGCGCAACCCUCGUGUUUAGUUGCCACUAUAAGUUUGGAACCCUGAACAGACCGCCGGUGUUAAGCCGGAGGAAGGAGAGGAUGAGGCCAAGUCAUCAUGCCUCUUAUGCCCUGGGCGGCACCGACGGAGUGGAAGAAGGGCGUAGACUCUCGAACCAGGAAAAGGAUCCCUUCGAAAUAAUUGAACGAGGAGCUGUAUGAGGUGAAAAUCUCAUUACGGUUCUGUAGAGGGAUAGUAAGGAUGACUUAUCUGUCGAUGUUUCCACUAUCAACCGCAAAAAACCCAACUCUGCCUUACGUAAAGUUACCAGAGUACGAUUAACCU